AAAAAAGAAAGAAAAAGAAAAAAGAAGAAAAAAGCAACUGGGAGUGGAUGAGGUCUUUUCCCUGACAAGUCUACACCUAUGGUCUUUCGUGACCCAUGGCAAAUGCAGAUGGAAGAUUUCUACCUGCGUCCAGAAGAAGUGUGGAUGAAGAGGCUCUUGCAUGGGCCCUGCUAGGAGUUGCUGACCUGCUUGUCCAUGUCAGGGUGGACAGGCUUUGCAGUGCUAACCCAGCAAGCCUUAAGAAGAAAACAAAACCAUAGACACAUCAUCUGGCACUUAAGAAGAGACUGUGCUCCACGUAUGUUUAUUGCGGCACUGUUCACAACAGCAAAGACUUGGAACCAACCCAAAUGUCCAACCCAAAUGUUUAUAGACUGGAUAAAGAAAAUGUGGCACAUCAUGGAAUAGUAUGCAGCCACAAAAAGGAUGAGUUCAUGUCCUUUUCAGGGACAUGGGUGAAGCUGGAAACCAUCAUUCUCAGCAAACUGACACAAGAACAGAAAACCAAACACCGCAUGUUCUCACUCAUAAGUGGGAGUUGAACAAUGAGAACACAUGGACACAGGCAGGGGAACAUCACACAGCAGGGCCUGUCUGGGGGUGGGGGACAAGGGGAGGGAUAGCAUUAGGAGAAAUACCUAAUGUAGAUGAGGGGUUGAUGGGUGCAGCAAACCACCACGUCAUGUGUGUAUACCUAUGUAACAAACCUACACUUUCUGCACAUGUAUCCCAGGACUUAAAGUAUAAUAAUAAUAAAGAAAGAAGAGACCAUGCUCUAU
rnacentral:lncRNA from 1 species